rnacentral:rRNA from 1 species
GACGAACGCUGGCGGCGUGCUUAACACAUGCAAGUCGAACGGAAAGGCCCUGCUUUUGUGGGGUGCUCGAGUGGCGAACGGGUGAGUAACACGUGAGUAACCUGCCCUUGACUUUGGGAUAACUUCAGGAAACUGGGGCUAAUACCGGAUAGGAGCUCCUGCUGCAUGGUGGGGGUUGGAAAGUUUCGGCGGUUGGGGAUGGACUCGCGGCUUAUCAGCUUGUUGGUGGGGUAGUGGCUUACCAAGGCUUUGACGGGUAGCCGGCCUGAGAGGGUGACCGGCCACAUUGGGACUGAGAUACGGCCCAGACUCCUACGGGAGGCAGCAGUGGGGAAUAUUGCACAAUGGGCGGAAGCCUGAGGCAGCAACGCCGCGUGCGGGAGGACGGCCUUCGGGUUGUAAACCGCUUUCGCCUGUACGAAGCGUGAGUGACGGUAAUGGGUAAAGAAGCACCGGCUAACUACGUG